GAAGCCGCGAUGCUCGUUCCGCACAGGACGGCCCCCGCCGUCCUCAUUCGCGAGCGGGCUAAGGUCUGAGUAUUCAAACUCCCUAUAAUUGCCCCUAAACGGGGCUCGUCUUCAAGACGGAGCGGCACACCAGAGAUGCAGGGUCGCCCUGCUUACACCCGGAGAUCUACGUCUUUCGACGAAGGGGAGGGAAGUAUAGCAGGGUGAACGCCUUUGGAAAAUGUCGUGGGAGUGGGGCAGGAUCGUCGGAAAGCUACGUAACACCCUCUUUUC
rnacentral:RNase_P_RNA from 2 species